rnacentral:rRNA from 1 species
UUAAGCGACUAAGCGUACACGGUGGAUGCCCUGGCAGUCAGAGGCGAUGAAGGACGUGCUAAUCUGCGAUAAGCGUCGGUAAGGUGAUAUGAACCGUUAUAACCGGCGAUUUCCGAAUGGGGAAACCCAGUGUGUUUCGACACACUAUCAUUAACUGAAUCCAUAGGUUAAUGAGGCGAACCGGGGGAACUGAAACAUCUAAGUACCCCGAGGAAAAGAAAUCAACCGAGAUUCCCCCAGUAGCGGCGAGCGAACGGGGAGCAGCCCAGAGCCUGAAUCAGUGUGUGUGUUAGUGGAAGCGUCUGGAAAGGCGCGCGAUACAGGGUGACAGCCCCGUACACAAAAAUGCACAUACUGUGAGCUCGAUGAGUAGGGCGGGACACGUGGUAUCCUGUCUGAAUAUGGGGGGACCAUCCUCCAAGGCUAAAUACUCCUGACUGACCGAUAGUGAACCAGUACCGUGAGGGAAAGGCGAAAAGAACCCCGGCGAGGGGAGUGAAAAAGAACCUGAAACCGUGUACGUACAAGCAGUGGGAGCCUCUUAAUGGGGUGACUGCGUACCUUUUGUAUAAUGGGUCAGCGACUUAUAUUCUGUAGCAAGGUUAACCGAAUAGGGGAGCCGAAGGGAAACCGAGUCUUAACUGGGCGUUAAGUUGCAGGGUAUAGACCCGAAACCCGGUGAUCUAGCCAUGGGCAGGUUGAAGGUUGGGUAACACUAACUGGAGGACCGAACCGACUAAUGUUGAAAAAUUAGCGGAUGACUUGUGGCUGGGGGUGAAAGGCCAAUCAAACCGGGAGAUAGCUGGUUCUCCCCGAAAGCUAUUUAGGUAGCGCCUCGUGAAUUCAUCUCCGGGGGUAGAGCACUGUUUCGGCAAGGGGGUCAUCCCGACUUACCAACCCGAUGCAAACUGCGAAUACCGGAGAAUGUUAUCACGGGAGACACACGGCGGGUGCUAACGUCCGUCGUGAAGAGGGAAACAACCCAGACCGCCAGCUAAGGUCCCAAAGUCAUGGUUAAGUGGGAAACGAUGUGGGAAGGCCCAGACAGCCAGGAUGUUGGCUUAGAAGCAGCCAUCAUUUAAAGAAAGCGUAAUAGCUCACUGGUCGAGUCGGCCUGCGCGGAAGAUGUAACGGGGCUAAACCAUGCACCGAAGCUGCGGCAGCGACACUAUGUGUUGUUGGGUAGGGGAGCGUUCUGUAAGCCUGUGAAGGUGUACUGUGAGGUAUGCUGGAGGUAUCAGAAGUGCGAAUGCUGACAUAAGUAACGAUAAAGCGGGUGAAAAGCCCGCUCGCCGGAAGACCAAGGGUUCCUGUCCAACGUUAAUCGGGGCAGGGUGAGUCGACCCCUAAGGCGAGGCCGAAAGGCGUAGUCGAUGGGAAACAGGUUAAUAUUCCUGUACUUGGUGUUACUGCGAAGGGGGGACGGAGAAGGCUAUGUUGGCCGGGCGACGGUUGUCCCGGUUUAAGCGUGUAGGCUGGUUUUCCAGGCAAAUCCGGAAAAUCAAGGCUGAGGCGUGAUGACGAGGCACUACGGUGCUGAAGCAACAAAUGCCCUGCUUCCAGGAAAAGCCUCUAAGCAUCAGGUAACAUCAAAUCGUACCCCAAACCGACACAGGUGGUCAGGUAGAGAAUACCAAGGCGCUUGAGAGAACUCGGGUGAAGGAACUAGGCAAAAUGGUGCCGUAACUUCGGGAGAAGGCACGCUGAUAUGUAGGUGAAGUCCCUUGCGGAUGGAGCUGAAAUCAGUCGAAGAUACCAGCUGGCUGCAACUGUUUAUUAAAAACACAGCACUGUGCAAACACGAAAGUGGACGUAUACGGUGUGACGCCUGCCCGGUGCCGGAAGGUUAAUUGAUGGGGUUAGCGGUAACGCGAAGCUCUUGAUCGAAGCCCCGGUAAACGGCGGCCGUAACUAUAACGGUCCUAAGGUAGCGAAAUUCCUUGUCGGGUAAGUUCCGACCUGCACGAAUGGCGUAAUGAUGGCCAGGCUGUCUCCACCCGAGACUCAGUGAAAUUGAACUCGCUGUGAAGAUGCAGUGUACCCGCGGCAAGACGGAAAGACCCCGUGAACCUUUACUAUAGCUUGACACUGAACAUUGAGCCUUGAUGUGUAGGAUAGGUGGGAGGCUUUGAAGUGUGGACGCCAGUCUGCAUGGAGCCGGCCUUGAAAUACCACCCUUUAAUGUUUGAUGUUCUAACGUUGGCCCCUGAUCGGGGUUGCGGACAGUGUCUGGUGGGUAGUUUGACUGGGGCGGUCUCCUCCUAAAGAGUAACGGAGGAGCACGAAGGUUGGCUAAUCCUGGUCGGACAUCAGGAGGUUAGUGCAAUGGCAUAAGCCAGCUUGACUGCGAGCGUGACGGCGCGAGCAGGUGCGAAAGCAGGUCAUAGUGAUCCGGUGGUUCUGAAUGGAAGGGCCAUCGCUCAACGGAUAAAAGGUACUCCGGGGAUAACAGGCUGAUACCGCCCAAGAGUUCAUAUCGACGGCGGUGUUUGGCACCUCGAUGUCGGCUCAUCACAUCCUGGGGCUGAAGUAGGUCCCAAGGGUAUGGCUGUUCGCCAUUUAAAGUGGUACGCGAGCUGGGUUUAGAACGUCGUGAGACAGUUCGGUCCCUAUCUGCCGUGGGCGCUGGAGAACUGAGGGGGGCUGCUCCUAGUACGAGAGGACCGGAGUGGACGCAUCACUGGUGUUCGGGUUGUCAUGCCAAUGGCACUGCCCGGUAGCUAAAUGCGGAAGAGAUAAGUGCUGAAAGCAUCUAAGCACGAAACUUGCCCCGAGAUGAGUUCUCCCUGACUC